rfam:Gossypium arboreum cultivar AKA8401 contig_52994_1, whole genome shotgun sequence.
AAUAGAAGAAUGCCAAAUCAGAUUUUUUCUCCUGAUUUCUAAUUUUUUCCUCUUGAAAAAAUUUAAAUUCAACUAAAAAUACUAAAAAUAAGGAGGAAAAAUAUGAUUUGACAUUCUCCUAUU